UACGUAGGGGUCAAGCGUUGUCCGGAUUUACUGGGCGUAAAGAGUGUGUAGGCGGCCAAGCAGGUCCGUUGUGAAAACUGGAGGCUUAACCUCCAGACGUCGUCGGAAACCGCGUGGCUAGAGUCCGGAAGAGGAGAGUGGAAUUCCUGGUGUAGCGGUGAAAUGCGCAGAUAUCAGGAAGAACACCAAUGGCGAAGGCAGCUCUCUGGGACGGUACUGACGCUGAGACGCGAAAGCGUGGGGAGCGAACGGG
rnacentral:rRNA from 1 species